UUCUGCCUAGAAUCACUUUAACAACCA
rnacentral:piRNA from 1 species